rnacentral:rRNA from 1 species
UACGUAGGGGGCAAGCGUUGUCCGGAUUUAUUGGGCGUAAAGAGCGUGUAGGCGGCCAUACAGGUCAGCUGUGAAAACUCGGGGCUCAACUCCGAGCUUGCAGUCGAUACGGGCAGGCUAGAGUUCGGCAGGGGAGACUGGAAUUCCUGGUGUAGCGGUGAAAUGCGCAGAUAUCAGGAGGAACACCAAUGGCGAAGGCAGCUCGCUGGGACGGUACUGACGCUGAGACGCGAAAGCGUGGGGAGCAAACAGG